rnacentral:rRNA from 1 species
GGGUAGUUUGACUGGGGCGGUCUCCUCCUAAAGAGUAACGGAGGAGCACGAAGGUUGGCUAAUCCUGGUCGGACAUCAGGAGGUUAGUGCAAUGGCAUAAGCCAGCUUGACUGCGAGCGUGACGGCGCGAGCAGGUGCGAAAGCAGGUCAUAGUGAUCCGGUGGUUCUGAAUGGAAGGGCCAUCGCUCAACGGAUAAAAGGUACUCCGGGGAUAACAGGCUGAUACCGCCCAAGAGUUCAUAUCGACGGCGGUGUUUGGCACCUCGAUGUCGGCUCAUCACAUCCUGGGGCUGAAGUAGGUCCCAAGGGUAUGGCUGUUCGCCAUUUAAAGUGGUACGCGAGCUGGGUUUAGAACGUCGUGAGACAGUUCGGUCCCUAUCUGCCGUGGGCGCUGGAGAACUGAGGGGGGCUGCUCCUAGUACGAGAGGACCGGAGUGGACGCAUCACUGGUGUUCGGGUUGUCAUGCCAAUGGCACUGCACGGUAGCUAAAUGCGGAAGAGAUAAGUGCUGAAAGCAUCUAAGCACGAAACUUGCCCCGAGAUGAGUUCUCCCUGACUCCUUGAGAGUCCUGAAGGAACGUUGAAGACGACGACGUUGAUAGGCCGGGUGUGUAAGCGCAGCGAUGCGUUGAGCUAACCGGUACUAAUGAACCGUGAGGCUUAACCUU